CACGUAGGAGGCGAGCGUUGUCCGGAAUCAUUGGGCGUAAAGAGCGCGCAGGCGGCUUGGCAAGUCGGGUGUGAAAUCCCGGGGCUCAACCCCGGGACUGCAUUCGAUACUGUCAGGCUAGAGGUAGGUAGGGGAGAUCGGAAUUCCUGGUGUAGCGGUGAAAUGCGUAGAUAUCUGGAGGAAUACCGGUGGCGAAGGCGGCAUCCUGGACCGGCAUUGACGCUGAUGAGCGAAAGCUAGGGGAGCAAACGGG
rnacentral:rRNA from 1 species